rnacentral:rRNA from 1 species
AUGCAAGUCGAGCGCCGUAGCAAUACGGAGCGGCAGACGGGAGAGUAACACGUGGGAACGUGCCCCUUUGGUUCGGAACAACCCAGGGAAACUUGGGCUAAUACCGGAUAAGCCCUUACGGGGAAAGAUUUAUCGCCGAAGGAUCGGCCCGCGUCUGAUUAGCUAGUUGGUGGGGUAAUGGCCCACCAAGGCGACGAUCAGUAGCUGGUCUGAGAGGAUGAUCAGCCUCACUGGGACUGAGACACGGCCCAGACUCCUACGGGAGGCAGCAGUGGGGAAUAUUGGACAAUGGGCGCAAGCCUGAUCCAGCCAUGCCGCGUGGGUGAUGAAGGCCCUAGGGUUGUAAAGCCCUUUCGGCGGNGAAGACAAUGACGGUACCCGCAGAAGAAGCCCCGGCUAACUUCGUGCCAGCAGCCGCGGUAAUACGAAGGGGGCUAGCGUUGCUCGGAAUCACUGGGCGUAUAGCGCACGUAGGCGGAUUGCUAAGUCAGGGGUGAAAUCCUGGAGCUCAACUCCAGAACUGCCUUUGAUACUGGCGA